GAUGAACGCUGGCGGCGUGCCUAAUACAUGCAAGUCGAGCGAACGGACGAGAAGCUUGCUUCUCUGAUGUUAGCGGCGGACGGGUGAGUAACACGUGGAUAACCUACCUAUAAGACUGGGAUAACUUCGGGAAACCGGAGCUAAUACCGGAUGAUAUUUUGAACCGCAUGGUUCAAAAGUGAAAGACGGUCUUGCUGUCACUUAUAGAUGGAUCCGCGCUGCAUUAGCUAGUUGGUAAGGUAACGGCUUACCAAGGCAACGAUGCAUAGCCGACCUGAGAGGAUGAUCGGCCACACUGGAACUGAGACACGGUCCAGACUCCUACGGGAGGCAGCAGUAGGGAAUCUUCCGCAAUGGGCGAAAGCCUGACGGAGCAACGCCGUGUGAGUGAUGAAGGUCUUCGGAUCGUAAAACUCUGUUAUUAGGGAAGAACAUAUGUGUAAGUAACUGUGCACAUCUUGACGGUACCUAAUCAGAAAGCCACGGCUAACUACGUG
rnacentral:rRNA from 1 species